rnacentral:rRNA from 1 species
GACGAACCGUGCGAACGUUGUUCGGAAUCACUGGGCUUAAAGGGCGCGUAGGCGGCUCGCGAGGUCGGGGGUGAAAUCCCACGGCUCAACCGUGGAAGGGCCUCCGAUACCGGCGGGCUGGAGGAAGGUAGGGGUGCGCGGAACUUCUGGUGGAGCGGUGAAAUGCGUUGAUAUCGGGAGGAACACCGGUGGCGAAGGCGGUUCUCUGGGCCUUACCUGACGCUGAGGAGCGAAAGCGUGGGGAGCGAACAGG